ACUGACUUUCGAUACCGAAAGUGCCAUUGAACGCACUCGCGCAAUGACAGCAGGAGAAUUCGAAGAUGCGUUCGAAUGUGUAGGUGAGAAGUGAGUUCAGGAGUAUAGGCGGGAAAAAUAAAUCGAGAUAGAUUGUAAACAAAACAAAGAUUGUGGAAUUUCAAUGCAAGUAGUAUCGUUUGGUGAUCAGAAGAAAAUUAAAGCUAAGUUCGCAGUGGUUAUUGUUGAGUUUGAAUACUUACCCUAAAUUUACGUGCUAAGGCAUUUGCAACUUUAGUACGAAGGCGCGAAGUGAAACUGCGCAGGGAAGUUGAGCACAGGCUACAAUACCACGCAACGAAGCGUUUUCAAUUAGGAAUCGCCAGAUUGAACCGAAAUCGAAUUGAGGUGUAGGGACUAGCAGCGGAAAAUAGCUGGAAUCGAGACGGAAGUAAGCGAUAGGAAGUUCACUAAACGUAAGCUUGAAAAUUGUUCUUAGUGUAUUCCAAAAUUAAUUUGUAUUCAAAUCGUAGGAAUUUAAAACGUGUCCCGGUAGAGCUUCGAACGGACAAAUAAAAGGGAACGUUACGAAUCCGAAAACAAACUUUCGUU